UAGGUUCCUGUGCAAAGAGCAGCGUAGCAGAGCGGUUGGGAACGCUAUGCUGGACAGAGGACGGCCGGCCGCGAGCGGAGCCUCCCACCGGCGAGCAUUGCCAGGCGAAGAGAGAAAACCUGGGCAGCCUUAAAACACUCAGAGUGUAAUGUGACGCUUCCAAACCUUUGCAGCCUGCGGGCGAAAGUCUGCUCGAGGAGCCUGAAGACGCACCAUCCCCACUUAUCGCCCCAGAGGCAGACUAUCUAGCUGACAAGCUGUGCGGUGAAAAACCAGAAGGUAGCUUGGUGCUGCUGCUCGGGACACCACUAAAUCAGAUGCAACUCUUCCUUCCUUAGAUGCCCAUGUGCCCGCUGCUCACCCAGGGCCCAGAAGGGAUCAGCUGCUCAUUUUGCAGAGCAAAGUAAGAUGGCAACAAGAUUUGUUUU
rnacentral:lncRNA from 1 species